AUUGAACGCUGGCGGCAGGCCUAACACAUGCAAGUCGAACGAGUGGCGGACGGGUGAGUAAUGUCUGGGAAACUGCCCGAUGGAGGGGGAUAACUACUGGAAACGGUAGCUAAUACCGCAUACCAUCGGAUGUGCCCAGAUGGGAUUAGCUAGGAGGUGGGGUAAUGGCUCACCUAGGCGACGAUCCCCAGCUGGUCUGAGAGGAUGACCAGCCAGACUGGAGCUGAGACACGGUCCAGAAUCCUACGGGAGGCAGCAGUGGGGAAUAUUGCACAAUGGGCGCAGGCCUGAUGCAGCCAUGCCGCGUGUGUUAAGAAGGCCUUCGGGUUGUAAAGUACUUGCAUCGAGGAGGCGUUACUCGUAGAAGAAGCACCGGCUAACUCCGUGCCAGCAGCCGCGGUAAUAC
rnacentral:rRNA from 1 species